rnacentral:rRNA from 1 species
UACGUAGGGUGCGAGCGUUUGUCCGGAUUUAUUGGGCGUAAAGCGCUCGCAGGUGGUUCAUUGCGUCGUGCGUGAAAGACCCCGGCUCAACUGGGGAGGGUCGUGCGAAACGGGUGAACUAGAGGCCAGUAGGGGGAUGCGGAAUUCCGGGUGUAGUGGUGGAAUGCGUAGAGAUCCGGAGGAACACCAGCGGCGAAGGCGGCAUCCUGGACUGGUCCUGACACUCAGGAGCGAAAGCGUGGGGAGCGAGUCCGG